CGUCAUGACUGACGUCACAGUCCUCGCUCGAAAAGUUUACUUAUAGGACCCGCGCUGCGAUCAGGUUCAGAUCAUCUUGGUUAAUAUUGCUGGAAAGCUGGGUUGUUCGGUGCCGGUCGGGGUUCUCUAUGAGGCCUCUCCGGAUCAACAUUGAGCAAUCGAGGACUAUCAGCUGUUAACUGAAGAAGACGGAAGACUGAAGACUGAAGACUGAAGACUGAAGACGGAACGUGGUGGGUGGUGGGGGUGACUGACUGACUGACUGGGUGACUGACUGACUGACUGAGUGACUGAGUGACUGACUGACUGACUGACUGGGUGA